AUUUUCCGCAUUUUACAACAUUUUGCAACGAAACUUUGGAAUAUUACUACUUUUGUGAUGCUCUUUCAAGCUGUGAUGAAAUUUUUGUAUAGACUUAUUUAGUUCAAAAUUUAGUCUAUUACGCAAAUGGUCAAUUGCAAAGUUUGGUUGCGAGUUGUUGUAAAAUGAGGAAAAUAUAGCCCUGUGAAGUCCGCAAAUUUUGCAGUAUAUAUUUAGAUUAUAUAUAUACGCGCGAGAAAAAUAACCGUUUUUGAGCCGAAUCGAAAGUGGUUAUUUUUAUACCACGCGUAAUACAAAUAUAUACAAAAUUGGCGAACUUCACAGGGCUAUAUUUUCUUCAUUUUACAACAUGUGGCCAACCUUUGCAGUUUUACUCAUUCUAAGACGCUCUUUCUAGCUGUGGUGUUGCCUUGAUCAAAAUUUAGUCUAUAGCUGGGAUCACCCAUUUUACAGUAAAAAGUACUCUACUGGCAGCUGGGACGCCAGAAAAUAUACUGUAUAAUUUUACAGAGACUGUUUCUUAACCGAAGUCUGUAUAUAUAUAUAUAUAUAUAGACAAUAGGCCUCUGUAACUCAGUUAGUUAUAGCGCAGCACUGGAGGGCCGCAGGUUCGAUUCCUGCUAGGGACCUGUAGUUGCAUUUUUCGUCUAAUAAAUGUAUAUAAAUUAACUUCCAUGCAUUCGAUAAUUUCUAUCUGCAAGACUCUUCAAUUAUUAUUGAAUCGAGUGAGAUGUCACAAAAUCUCGAUAUUUACCCUUCCUAACUACCAACCUCUCAACGAAGGGUCAUCGCUUGAAACGUCGAAGAUCAGGUAGUUGUAUCUCUCUCAGUACCGUAGGCUGUCGUAUAUAUUAUGUCUGUAAUGUCAAGACCGUAACUAGCUCUGGGGGUUUGCUUCCCCCCAAAAAACAUUUUUGGCUUAAGCCAGUUUUCCACUUCAAUCGUAUCGUAUUUCUUUGUUUUCUGACCACUAGUGUGGAACUAAUGACUUCGACACUAAAGAAAAUCCUACGGUACGUUACGAUACGAUUGAAGUGGAAAACAGGCCUUAGAAACGCCAUUCCCUGCAUUCUGAGAGCAGUUUCAACUCAUGAUCAUAAACAAUGUAUUAAAAUGACUAUAUAAUUUUAUAGUCAAUCCUGAGAAUCACAAAUAUUCCUGGUCCGACAUGAUGAGGUGCAUAAUUUUUAAGUGUUUGUGGAAUUGUGGUAAUAUAAUAUGGGACGCUAUAAUUCCCAUGGGUACACCCACGAAAUAUUGACGUUUUAAGCAGCUGGAAAUAGAGCUUCGAGCCCUGCAUCAGUAAUGGAAAAAAUUCCAUUAUCUGAUUUCCUUCUUUGAACUUGAAGUCUUCAUGUUUUAACUUUU